AUUUAAGGAACUAUUAAUUACGCAGAAAAUGUGACCAAACAGUUAGAUAAAAUUUGAGUAUUUAGUCAUUUCAGCUGUGAAUACAUUAUGUACAACUCAGAUUUAAAUAUUCUAUCAAAAGGUUCCCUUUUAAAAAUAAAGCGUUGAAACAUGCACUAGCUUAAAUUUCUCAAACAAAGAACUUUGAAGACAAAUGUACAUACAUUUGACAUUUUAUUUUUUCUUCACAUUAUUGCUUUACAAUAAAAUGCAUUGGUUGGAUAUGUCCAGUAUAGCAAGACAAUACAUUCAUAUAAGUUACAGAUGUCCUCGGUAAUGCUUUAUAGUAACUAACUUUACAUUAAAUAUAUUUUUAAUCAUGUAUUAUUCUUGACAAACAACUCCCACAUCACAUUGAGCUCACAGUGCAUCAGGUCGCAUUCAAUCAAGAAAUACAUACCGGUCCUCUCUUGUGUUCAAUUGCCAUUUCUAAAGUGUGUGUUUUAAAGUAUGUGCGCUUUUUUUGUACACAGGAUUUUCAUACAAUCUGGAUUUAUGCACAGUAAUGACAAGUAUGGCAUCUGUUUUUCAACUAUUUCCCCUCCUCCUCCUCCUCCCCUCAAAAAGUGUGACUAGCUAACAAAGAUGCAGGUUAGACAACCGGCAAAUGUCAUGACAAAACGAGCGCAGUUUAUUCCCCUGCUGUUUACCCCUCCUCAAAUAUGGCAACCGGGGCGUGACCACACAGAGCAACAAAAGAUAUAUACAAAAAUAAAUUAAACCUCAACUCUGCACAUUCUGAAUCAACUCACUUGCAGUACAGAAGACUCACUGAAACGGAUUUGGGGGGGGAAUAAUGGAGAUGUACAAAGGGUCAGUGUGUAUGUGGGAGAGUCUGUAGGCCCUGUGUGGUCACCUCCUGACCUUCAAGUCCUCCUUAAUGUCUGCGCUCAUCCAACUCCUUUGGGGGAAAAAAAAAAAAAAAAAAAAAAAAAAAAAAAUCAACGGCCCCAGGGCAGUGGAGGCAAGCCGUCCAUUCCUUCCUCCCUCAGCUAGGGUUGGCGGAGUUAAUGCCCUUGUGCAAGAGGGGGCGAGGGGGAUUCAGCACUUUCCUCAAAGCCACCAUUCACCGUCUACCAUUUGGUCUCAGUUCUCUGGCUGUCACAAACACACCUGUGAGCUCACACAUCAAGUACCACGAGACAAACCGACGUCACAUCUCCACAGGAUCCCCGUCGUUAUAUGGCAGCCUUGCAGGGGCCUUCGGUCACAUAGAAUUCUUUAAAUUGAGCUUGCAUAUACAUGUGCCUGCCGGCCACCGCAGGGCGGAGGGAUAUCUCUCCACACUUAAAACACUCCACAUGAGCCUCUCUUUUGACCGUGCACCUCACUUGGUGGUGGUGUGCUCAGCCAUUUUUUUUUUUUUGCAUGAUGUCAAAAUGUCUGGAUUGCAGUGUAGCUCGUAGCUGCCGAUUUUUGUAAAGUGGGUCGGGCCGUUUUUAUUCCCAAUGGAGACGCCCAGAAGCCCUCAGCCUUUUUGCGGUGUGGUGGAGCAGCUGCAUUUAAUGUCCCUGCAUGCGCUGCAGACAGGCGGGUGUGCUCAUGGUGUCAACAAGGUUCCAAUCGGUUCAAGAGUUGAAGAGUCUGGUGUCGGAAAAUGCGGCGUGGGCCCAUACGGAGCACACGCCUCCACAAACAAACACGCGCACAAUUGCUCUCUCGCUCACUCACUCAGUCAGUCACAUAUACACUGAAAAUACACACACGCACAGAAGGAAGCACUAGUUGAUUCAGAAUGAGAGGACUGCUGUUAAAGUGCAAUAUCUACAUGUAACUCAAAAUCAAGAGACCAUCGCCAUCUGCUGGAUUUGUCCAUCUAUGAGUUUCCCUGAUAACCGCCGGCUGGGGUUGGCACCCCCAGCC
ensembl:lncRNA